CACAUGCCAGAGAAAAAGAAGAAUACUGCAUUUAAUUUCAGAUGAAACACUCGCUGAGCUCCUCAUCUGCACGUUCGGAUCCGCCUCUCAUCCUGAGCACCUGAACGCACCCUGACCUUUGACCUCAGACAUGUUCUGGUCACAGUAUAAUGUAGUACCUCUUGGAAUGUUGUUGCUAAGGUAUUCUGGGUGGUUACUAUGGUACUUCUAUCCACCUGCUGAGGCUAUCUGAGGCUGUUUCUAAUUUAAAGUAGUUGCCAGGGUGUUUCAACUUAGUUUCUAAGGUGAUGUGAAUUGUUGUUGGGUGUUUUGUUUUGUUUUCAAGUACAUUGUUAUGCGGUUGCCUUGGUGUUGAUAUGUGGUUGCUAAGAUGAUGUCUAUAAAAUUUUAUACAUUUCUAUGAAGUAUUGAAAGUAUUAUGGGGUGUUUCCAGGGCGUUGCUAAGUUACUAGUCUAUUGAGAGUGGUUGCCAGAGUUUUUGUACCAACUUUCUAAGGUAUUGUGACUUGUCUUUUUUUUUUCAAAGUACAUUGUUACAUGGUUGCCCAGGGUGUUGCUAUGUGGUUGCUAAGAUGUUGCUAAGAUGAUGUCAGUUGCUAAGUUACUAGUCUAUUGAGAGUGGUUGCCGGGGUGUUUCUACCCACUUUCUAAGGUAUUGUGACUUGUUUUUUUGUUUUCUGUUUUUUGAAGUCUAUGUUCAAAUAUUUAAACAUAGGACCCCAAUAUAUAUUUACUUAUAUAUUUACGUUUAUACUAAUAUAUAUAUGCUUUUAAAGUUUUUAUUAAUUAUGUAUAUUACUAUUACUAUUACUACUAUGUAUUACUAAUGUAAUAUAUAAAUAAUAAUUAUAUAUUAUAUGCAUUUAUGAGUGUGUGUGUGUGUGUGUGUGUGUGUGUGUGUGUGUGUGUGUGUGUGUGUGUGUGUGUGUGUGUGUGUGUGUGUGUGUGUUAAUUUUUGAUUAGUAAUAUGCAUUGCUAAGAACUUCAUUUGAACAACUUUAAAGGUGAUUUUCUUAAUAUUUUAAUUUUUUGCACCCUCAGAUUCCAGAUUUUCAAAUAUUGUCCUCCUAACAAACCAGACAAAUGUGAAAAUUAGAAAUGUUGGCAACUAACUGAAAAAAAUAAGUUUAAGUACUAGAAUUGCUAGAACUAAAACAUAACUGAAAUAAAAAAGAAUAAAAUUAAAGGCAAACUAAUAAAAAAAUUAUAAUAAAAAUAAAAAUGACAAAAGCAAAUAGAAAUUACUGAAACUUAAAAUUUAAAAUAAACUGUAUUUAAGAUAAAAAUAAAAUAGAAGCUCAUUCAAAAUAAUAAUAUAAAUACUAU
ensembl:lncRNA